rnacentral:rRNA from 1 species
CCUACGGGUGGCAGCAGUGGGGAAUAUUGGGCAAUGGGCGCAAGCCUGACCCAGCAACGCCGCGUGAAGGAAGAAGGCUUUCGGGUUGUAAACUUCUUGUGUCAGGGAAGAGUAGAAGACGGUACCGGACGAAUAAGCCACGGCUAACGAUGUGCCAGAAGACGCGGUAAUACGUAGGUGGCAAGCGUUGUCCGGAUUUACUGGGUGUAAAGGGCGUGUAGCCGGGUUGACAAGUUAGAUUUGAAAGCCUGCUGCUUAACCGCAGAACUGCAGUGGAAACUGGUGAUCUUGAGUACUUGAUAGGCCGACGGAACUCCUAUUGUAGCGGGGAAAGGCGUAGAUAUGAGGAGGAACACCAGUGGAGAAGGCGGUCUGCUGGACAGCAACUGACGGUGAGGCGCGAAAGCGUGGGGAGCAAACAGGAUUAGAUACCCGGGUAGUC